rnacentral:rRNA from 1 species
AGAGUUUGAUCAUGGCUCAGGAUGAACGCUGGCGGCGUGCUUAACACAUGCAAGUCGAACGGAGCGAUGACACGGAGUCUUCGGACGAAGUGUUAUGGCUUAGUGGCGCACGGGUGAGUAACACGUGAGCAACCUACCUUUUGCAGGGGAAUAACUCUGGGAAACCAGGGCUAAUACCGCAUGACGGGCACUUGGGGCAUCCUUUGUGCAUGAAAGGAUUAUAUCCGGCAGAAGAUGGGCUCGCGUCCGAUUAGGUAGUUGGUGAGGUAGGGGCUCACCAAGCCGACGAUCGGUAGCCGGACUGAGAGGUCGAUCGGCCACAUUGGGACUGAGACACGGCCCAGACUCCUACGGGAGGCAGCAGUGGGGAAUAUUGGGCAAUGGGCGGAAGCCUGACCCAGCGACGCCGCGUGAAGGAGGAAGGCUUUCGAGUUGUAAACUUCUUUGGGGAGGGACGAAGAUGACGGUACCUCCAGAACAAGCCACGGCUAACUACGUGCCAGCAGCCGCGGUAAUACGUAGGUGGCGAGCGUUAUCCGGAUUUACUGGGUGUAAAGGGCGCGCAGGCGGCCCUGGAAGUCAGAUGUGAAAGAUCAAGGCUUAACUUUGACAGGUCAUCUGAAACUUUGGGGCUUGAGUAUCAGAGGGGAAAGUGGAAUUCCUAGUGGAGCGGUAAAAUGCACAGAGAUUAGGAGGAACACCGGUGGCGAAGGCGGCUUUCUGGACUGACCCUGACGCUGAGACGCGAAAGCGUGGGAGCAAACAGGAUUAGUUACCCUGGUAGUCCACGCUGUAAAUGAUGGGCACUAGGUGUAGGAGGUAUCGACCCCUUCUGUGCCGCAGCUAACGCAAUAAGUGCCCCUCCUGGGGAGUACGGUCGCAAGGCUGAAACUCAAAUGAAUUGACGG